AAUACGAUCCUUUGCUUCUGUAGACUCUGAUGAAGAACUUGAUGAUAAAUAUGAUCUUGAGAAGCCCAUCGUCUAACAGGAGCUCAGAUUAAAGACUGAUUGUCAGAGUGCAACAGCCUCUUCAACCUCGGGCCAUGUGUCUUAAUAUAGGUUUUUGUACAUGGGUGACCAGAACUAGACAGUCACUCUGCCUUAAAUCCACUAUCGCCAUGAUCAGCAGUUUGUUUAUCUCUUUCUAUGCCCACACAAGCUCUUAGUGCAAUUGAUUUUUUUGUGUGACUUAAUUUUUUUCCACUGAACAAAAAACUAGUGUUUAUGCAGUACUGCUUGAAAAAAUGAAGGAUUUUAAUGUGCAUUUUGAACUUAAUCAUCAAAUGAUAUCAGCGUUGAACACGACAUUUAUGCCACUCUUCAAAUGCUUCAGUGUAACAAAACUGAAGUUUUUGUUUUUGGCUCCUCUUCAGUAAGCUUUCUUAAAUCAUCUUAAGUAAGAAAAAUAAAUCUACUUCCUGUUGAGUUUACUUUUGCCAUGCUUACUGAAUAAGGGCUUAUGUAUCUGGUGCAGGUCUGGGACCUCCGGUUUUCUUUAAUAUUUUGAGAAUCUCCAUACAGUAUGUACCUAUCACAAAGCCUCAAGUAUGCAGGAUGAUGGCCGAUUGUAUUUUUCUUUCGUUAUGCAUUAAAACAAUUACUGUUUUUAUUAAA